rnacentral:lncRNA from 1 species
CUCUCUGAUUUCACUGGACAGCACAAUAACAGGGCAAAGCCCAUCUGGCCAUGUUUGCAUCUUUGUUCAGAAAAGUGAUUAGAUAUCUCUCUACAAAAUAAAGCUUUAGAAUUGAAAAGUUUUCAAAUAAUAUGCUGACAGCUUAGUUAAAAGAAAAACAAAUGAAACAAAUAUCACUAGAUGUUAUUUGUUCCAAAAGUCAAAAGGCUAACCACAGCCUUGCCAAACAUCUGCAAAUGUUUUCAGCUCUUUAAUCCCUAAUCUUUCUUUGAUUUGAGGUAUGAGUGGAGAGUACUACUGGUACUCUCGUGGUUCUUACAGCCACUAGAUCAAAGCUUGUUUCUUGCCUGGCUUCCAACCUUUGACCCAUUUGGCCUGUCUCCUGUCUAGGAUGGGCUUUGGGCUUGGUAGGAUAUUGUUUUACAUCUCAUGAUCCUGUGUAAUUUGUAAACUGCUUUUACAUAAGUUAUUUCAUUCAAUUCUUGAAAAAACACUGGAAAGCAUGGAUCUGUAUUUCCUUUUCAUUGAUAAGGGAACCAAAGCCCUGAGAAGUUAGUUACAUGACUCAGGUGCAUCACUUGAACUCAAGGCUUUCAGUUAUAACAUCAUAUGUUCUUUCUAUUACCUCUCCAUUAGUAAAUCUCUGAGCUAGACUUCUUGGAACUGGGAAUGAGGAAUGAAUGAGAAUAAAGAAGACAUAAGUAUGAGAAAGAGUGGACAGAUUAUUAUUGAGUCACAAAACUUCCUUGGGCCUGGGUUUCCUCAUGAAGUGACAAUUGAACAAGGCUGCUGUCUAGGACUUUCCUUAGCUUUAAGCUUUUCUACUCUUUUUUUUUUUUUUGAGAUGGAGUUUCGCUCUUGUUACCCAGGCUGGAGUGCAAUGGUGCGAUCUCGGCUCACCGCAACCUCCGCCUCCUGGGUUCAAGCAAUUCUCCUGCCUCAGCUUCCAGAGUAGCUGCGACUACAGGUGUGCACCACCAUAUCCAGCUAAUUUUUGUAUUUUUAGUAGAGACAGGGUUUCACCAUGUUGGCCAGGAUGGUCUUGAUCUUUUUACCUCAUGAUCUGCCUGCCUUGGACUCUCAAGGUGCUGGGAUUACAGGUGUGUGCCACUGCGCCGGGCUGGUGUUGGGGUUUUUAAUCCCCUAGUUGGGAUGAAUCCUCUGGGAGAGGUCCACCAUCAAGCUGAGUGGGCAUCAGAGUAAGUCUUGUAUGAUGUAGCUCUCUCACUGUGAAUGGGUGUUCCAUGUCCUGUACCAGCUCCUCCCACAGCCAGGCCUGAUCCUUGUAUCAAGUGCCACCAGGCUGCUGCACAGCAGGGCCAGGAUACCCAGGGUCCAUGAUGAGCAGUGGCAUGGAAAGUCACCCAGGCACUGGCCUUACACACUCUGACAGACCAUGUCUUUUUUUCACAAAGCUCAGAAGUGAACGAUUAGAUGAAUGAGUAAAUGAAUGAAUUAAUCUUAUUUUUGCUGAGAAAAUACAUUCUUGCUUAUGACAACUUUGCUAAAGGAUUCUAAGACAAUAUUCUCUGCCAAGCUUUCCUACUGCCUAUGAUCACAAUGGAAGAAGGGAACCGUUGAAUAACAAAAUCCUAUGAGAAUUCAGAGAAAGGAAGAAGCAUUACAUUGAGUUUGAAAAUACAUGGAACUUGAAGGAAACGUCGAUUUUAGGUGGCGAAAAGAUUGGAGUGUUCAAAAUAGGCAAAUGGGACCUAAUCAAACUCCACAGCUUCUGCACGGCAAAAGAAACAGUCAUUAGAGUGAAUCAGCAACCAACAGAAUGGGAAAAAAUUUUUGCAGUUUACCCAUCUGACAAAGGGCUGAUAUCCAGAAUUUACAAAGAACUCAAACAGAUUUACAAGAAAAAAACAAACAAGCCCA